AUUGAACGCCGGCGGCAGGCCUAACACAUGCAAGUCGAGCGGAUGAGGGGAGCUUGCUCCUUGAUUCAGCGGCGGACGGGUGAGUAAUGCCUAGGAAUCUGCCUGGUAGUGGGGGAUAACGUUCCGAAAGGAACGCUAAUACCGCAUACGUCCUACGGGAGAAAGCAGGGGACCUUCGGGCCUUGCGCUAUCAGAUGAGCCUAGGUCGGAUUAGCUAGUUGGUGAGGUAAUGGCUCACCAAGGCUACGAUCCGUAACUGGUCUGAGAGGAUGAUCAGUCACACUGGAACUGAGACACGGUCCAGACUCCUACGGGAGGCAGCAGUGGGGAAUAUUGGACAAUGGGCGAAAGCCUGAUCCAGCCAUGCCGCGUGUGUGAAGAAGGUCUUCGGAUUGUAAAGCACUUUAAGUUGGGAGGAAGGGCAGUAAGUUAAUACCUUGCUGUUUUGACGUUACCAACAGAAUAAGCACCGGCUAACUUCGUGCCAGCCGCCGCAGUAA
rnacentral:rRNA from 1 species